CCCUUGCAAUCAUAAGCGGAGGAAAAGAAACUAACAAGGAUUCCCCUAGUAACGGCGAGUGAAGCGGGAAGAGCUCAAAUUUGUAAUCUGGCCCUUUCAGGGUCCGAGUUGUAAUCUCGAGAAGUGUUUUCCGCGCCGGACUGCAUACAAGUCUGUUGGAAUACAGCGUCAUAGUGGUGAGAGCCCCGUAACUGAUGCAGAUGCCCGGUGCUUUGUGAUACACUUUCGAAGAGUCGAGUUGUUUGGGAAUGCAGCUCAAAUUGGGUGGUAAAUUCCAUCUAAAGCUAAAUAUUGGCGAGAGACCGAUAGCGAACAAGUACCGUGAGGGAAAGAUGAAAAGCACUUUGGAAAGAGAGUUAACAGUACGUGAAAUUGUUGGAAGGGAAACGCUUGAAGUCAGACUUGCUAUUCGGAAUUCAGCCGCAAGGUGUACUUUUCGAUUUGCAGGCCAGCAUCAGUUUUUGGGGGUGGAAAAGGGUGGAGAGAAGGUAGCAACCUCGGUUGUGUUAUAGCUCUUUACUGGAUUCAUCUUUGGGGACUGAGGAUCGCAGUGCGCAAUUCAUUUUGCAAACCUUUCGAGGUUUUCGUACUUAGGAUGCUGGUGGAAGGCUUAAACGCACCCUUAAAAAAAC
rnacentral:rRNA from 1 species